rnacentral:rRNA from 1 species
UUGGCGGACGGGUGAGUAACACGUGAGCAACCUGCCUUCGAGAGGGGAAUAACGGCUGGAAACGGUCGCUAAUACCGCAUAACAUACCGGGAGGACAUCCUGCUGGUAUCAAAGAUUUUAUCGCUCGAAGAUGGGCUCGCGUCCGAUUAGGUAGUUGGUGAGGUAACGGCUCACCAAGCCGACGAUCGGUAGCCGGACUGAGAGGUUGAACGGCCGCAUUGGGACUGAGACACGGCCCAGACUCCUACGGGAGGCAGCAG